rnacentral:rRNA from 1 species
UGGGGAAUAUUGCACAAUGGGCGCAAGCCUGAUGCAGCCAUGCCGCGUGUGUGAAGAAGGCCUUCGGGUUGUAAAGCACUUUCAGCGAGGAGGAAGGUGGUGAGCUUAAUACGCUCAUCAAUUGACGUUACUCGCAGAAGAAGCACCGGCUAACUCCGUGCCAGCAGCCGCGGUAAUACGGAGGGUGCAAGCGUUAAUCGGAAUUACUGGGCGUAAAGCGCACGCAGGCGGUUUGUUAAGUCAGAUGUGAAAUCCCCGGGCUCAACCUGGGAACUGCAUUUGAAACUGGCAAGCUAGAGUCUCGUAGAGGGGGGUAGAAUUCCAGGUGUAGCGGUGAAAUGCGUAGAGAUCUGGAGGAAUACCGGUGGCGAAGGCGGCCCCCUGGACGAAGACUGACGCUCAGGUGCGAAAAGCGUGGGGAGCAAAACAGGAUUAGAUACCCUGGUAGUCCACGCUGUAAAACGAUGUCGAUUUUGGAGGUUGUGCCCUUGAGGCGUGGCUUCCGGAGCUAACGCGUUAAAUCGACCGCCUGGGGAGUACGGCCGCAAGGUUAAAACUCAAAGGAAUUGACGGGGUCAUAGCUGUUUCC